UGGACCUCUCCCUGAACACCAGGCUUGUACAUACAACUGCCUACUCAACAUCUCCACCUGGGUGUCCAACAGUGUCAGCAUCUCACAGAGAAGUGUCUGCAGCACUUCAGGAAUAACAUGGCGAUGCUGCCCCUCCUCAGUGCACCUGCACCCGUGGACCUUGAAGGCCGAGCACAGAGGAGGGGAAUGGACUGUGGAGCCAGAGAGGUGUGGUUUUACCCCUGCUCUGCCUCUCACUUGCCUGUGACCUCAGACUUGUUGUUGAAGUGCUGCACGGCUCGGCUCAUCCAUCUGUCGUGUGCGGACGGUGACGCCAACCCCACAGGGUUUUUACACGGAGUGACUGUGGUAAUGCGUGAGAAAGGUCUGGUGCACAGCGGGUGCCUAAGAAUUGCAGGCGGACACAGUCAGCACUGUGCUGACAAAAGCUGGCUCUGCUCGGGCCCUUCACCUCAGGAAGGGCAGGCGGGAAGCGGGAACUCUCACCCAGCAGCCUCGCUCUGGGAAGGAGAAAUGGAAAAUGUUCUAAUUCCAAAGAGUAAAUGUCAGCGGCUUGGGAAGGAUUCUGAGGUUCUGAAA
rnacentral:lncRNA from 1 species